UACAGAGGGUGCGAGCGUUAAUCGGAAUUACUGGGCGUAAAGCGUGCGUAGACGGUUAUUUAAGUCGGAUGUGAAAGCCCCGGGCUCAACCUGGGAAUUGCAUUCGAGACUGAAUAGCUAGGGUGCGGUAGAGGGAAGCGGAAUUUCCGGUGCAGCGGUGAAAUGCGUAGAUAUCGGAAGGAACAUCAGUGGCGAAAGCGGCUUCCUGGACCAGCACCGACGUCAGGCACGAAAGCGUGGGGAGCAAACAGGG
rnacentral:rRNA from 1 species